GAUGAACGCUGGCGGCGUGCUUAACACAUGCAAGUCGAACGAUGAAGCCCAGCUUGCUGGGUGGAUUAGUGGCGAACGGGUGAGUAACACGUGAGUAACCUGCCCUUAACUCUGGGAUAAGCCCGGGAAACUGGGUCUAAUACCGGAUAGGAGCGUCCACCGCAUGGUGGGUGUUGGAAAGAUUUAUCGGUUUUGGAUGGACUCGCGGCCUAUCAGCUUGUUGGUGAGGUAAUGGCUCACCAAGGCGACGACGGGUAGCCGGCCUGAGAGGGUGACCGGCCACACUGGGACUGAGACACGGCCCAGACUCCUACGGGAGGCAGCAGUGGGGAAUAUUGCACAAUGGGCGCAAGCCUGAUGCAGCGACGCCGCGUGAGGGAUGACGGCCUUCGGGUUGUAAACCUCUUUCAGUAGGGAAGAAGCGAAAGUGACGGUACCUGCAGAAGAAGCACCGGCUAACUACGUG
rnacentral:rRNA from 1 species